GACGAACGCUGGCGGCGUGCUUAACACAUGCAAGUCGAGCGGUAAGGCCCUUUCGGGGGUACACGAGCGGCGAACGGGUGAGUAACACGUGGGUGACCUGCCCUCAGCUCUGGGAUAAGCCUGGGAAACCGGGUCUAAUACUGGAUAUGACUCCAUGACGCAUGUUGUGGGGUGGAAAGCCUUGUGCGGCUGAGGAUGGGCCCGCGGCCUAUCAGCUUGUUGGUGGGGGUGANGGCCUACCAAGGCGACGACGGGUAGCCGGCCUGAGAGGGCGACCGGCCACACUGGGACUGAGACACGGGCCCAGACUCCUACGGGAGGCAGCAGUGGGGAAUCUUGCGCAAUGGGCGAAAGCCUGACGCAGCGACGCCGCGUGAGGGAUGACGGCCUGGUU
rnacentral:rRNA from 1 species